ensembl:misc_RNA
UUAACAGCCCUGGAGAAUGCAAACCUCUGUGCAAUGAACAGGUGCAGUACAGGGCAGGAGCAGCAGAUCAAGCUUCCUUUACAUUGACCCUGUCCUCUUCUGAGGUGACCACUGCCAGAGCUGAGUGGGGAGUUCAGCCUCCAAGGGCCCAUUCAAUCCUUGGCCUCU